UCGUCGCUCGCCCGUAGAUCUUCCGCCCGUCGCCGCUCACCCCGCAGCUAACUCGCCGUAGACCACCUCCCACAUCCGAUCCGGACUACAGCGUUGCCGUCCUCUCCGCUCCGUCUACCUCGUCGAGGCUCGUCGCCUCCCUACCAAUUCCGACUAAGACCAGUCGCCACGAACCUCAACGAGGAGCAGCGGCGGCGGCAAGACCAGAAGUAGCACGCGUCGGGCGGCGGCGCUACACAAAUAGCACCAGCAGCGGCAUCGCAAAGUGCUGAUUUAUUCUCGAAAGAGAUGUUCCCCGCGCGUCGAGAUCCUCCCCGCCGUGAUCGGAUCAGCCUCCCGUGACGGGAUCCAACUCCCCGAAGCCAGGUAUCUGCUCCGGCAUUAGGUCCCUGAUGCCACGGCCAGAUGGGAUAUACUCUGCAGAGAGGCAAAGUCCCUCGCGCAGUUUAGCCCCUGGUAGAACAACCACCUCGAGGCCUCGUGCUGCGGAAGAAGCUGGCGGACACCAUCCUCCAGUCCGCCCACGAGCGCGAGUUACAGGUCCAGCAAUGUGCAUGCAUCUCCUUGCAGAUCAAGGUUUUACCACGUUGGAAACACCAUUACUCUUGACUCUUGCACUGAUUGAGCUAAGUGAUUGCUUUUCAUGUUUCAAUCUGAGCUCCAUCCAGCAUUUACAUCAAGAGGUGCUCUUUUAAUAACCAUCACCCCUCCAGGUUAUCAUCUGAAGCUGCCCUGGAUCAUCCAGUUUGAGCCAAUACAGUGAAACAUACAUCCAUCUGUAGGAGGAGAAGCUGGUGAGGUGUUGCUUCUGCAGAUCGCAGGUGGACCUAUGCGAUGGCGGAAGGUAGAGGGUGGCGAGGUGGCGCCUGGGUGGAAGGGUGGUGCCCUUCUCUCAAGGGAUAGCUUGGGAGGACAUCCAUGGAUAUACUCUGAAACAUGCAAUUUUUGUAUGUUCUCACUUGUUCAUAUGCUUGAAAUGUAUAAAGGUGGCCAAGUACUCUAUUUAAGCUAUGAAAGGGGUUGUAGUGGCCGAUGCCAGAAUUGCAAAUUUUUGAGUAGCAGUUUGUUUAGGUGUGUCCAAGAAUACAAAGAUAAUUAUCACCUCUAGAAAUUAAUACCAAACCGGAGCAGAUGGGGUCAAGCGUGGGGUUGUGGACGGGCUGGAGCAUCAGAUUGGCUCGGUGCAUCGCAUCAGAGGGGAAGAAGGACACCUUCCGUGCGAUUCAUAAAAUUGAGUGCUUGGAGGGUUAUUUGUGCAAAAAAAAUUUAAAGCAACUUGUGUUCCGUUAUUUUUUGUGUGGGUUAGUUUAAACCCGAGUUAUGUGAGAUUGUAAAAAAAAAGAACAUUGUGAAAGAGAAAAGGUAGGAUCGUGUAUCAUUUUACUUC